rnacentral:tRNA from 1 species
GAGCUGCGUGGCGUAGUGGUUAAGUGCUUGCACUGCUACUCGCAGGGUCAGGAGUUCGAGCCCCCUGUGGGUCA